AGCUAACCAGUUCCAUGGCCUUGCUCCAGUUAAGUGCCGUGAACUGGCAUUUGAAUACGCAGAGAGAAACAAUAUCCCUGUCCCUGCCAAUUGGACAGAGAAACAAUGUGCAGGAAUAGAGUGGUUUGGCAGGUUCCUAGCACGUCGCCAUCUCUCUGUCCGAACUCCGGAGGCAACAUCCCUGGGAAGGGCUACAGCCUUCAAUAAAACUACAGUGGGGGAGUUCUUCGAAAAUCUGGCUGUAGUGAUGGACAGGCACAAAUUCCCUCCACACAUGAUUUACAAUGUGGAUGAAACAGGCGUCGUUACAGUUCAAAAGCCACGGCAGGU